CAUGGAGAUCCCGUCAUCUCCUCACAAUGUUCAGUUUAAUAGAUUAUAUGACAAAAAAUGUGGCUUAUAAAAUAUUAUACAUAAAUGUUUAUGAAAUUAUUUCCUGCAUCUUUUAUUUUUAGUAUUUUUAUUUAUUUGGUGAGGAAACAAUGGCUCCUUCAGUCAGGAGAAUUAUGGGAUGUGAGCAAUUAUUUCCCUCAGUACCGCCAUCCAUCCCCAUAAGAGGAAACGGGAAACAAGAUAGCGGACAUAUUGGAAUGUCAUCCUUCCAGAGGAGUCCAAACUCAGGAAAUGCUUUUCUCCACAGAGCUUGAUUGACAGCUGCUCAGAAAGUGAAAGCUCCACAGAUUCUCACAGAAAGCUUCUCAGACUGAAAGGAGAGUCUCACUGAUAGCAGCACAGACUGAAACAUGCACAGCCUGAGGUCUUCUAUUCAUCACAGCACUGCAACCAUGUGAGGGCAGAAGUGGUCCCCCAGCAGGCUUCAGUGAUGUCAUGCCUGCUGGGAAACGCCCACAUUCUCCUGCUGGAAAAUUGCACUAUGAGAGCAAGAAGAAAGGAUCUUUGCUUGCUGUCAAUGAACAAAAACAUUCCAGAAGUUGAAAGAUAACCCAGUCCUGCUCACCCAGCUUUAUGGUUUCAUAAGGGAAAGUGUACAUGGGAUGAAACUGCAGUGGAUUUUUUCAGCGGACUUUUAAUGGGUAAGUCAAAAUCCUAAUUUCAAUCAGCAAGGAAAAAAUUGUUGCAGAUUUUAAAACCAUAUAGUUUUUUGUGUUGCGAACCCUUUGCUGCAAAAGUGAGUAGCAAAUAUGCUACUAAACUCGCACCAAACGUGUGGGUUCUUCACCUGGGUUGGGUACAGAGCACCCGGCCUAUGGAUUGUAAGAAAAUAAGUGGGGAUUCAUCACCAUUUGCCUCCUUUGGCCGUACACUAAACGGGUGCAUAGCUCACUGCUAUUUACUGUACAGUAGCCAUAUUUUAAUGACAGGAGUCCCUGCUCUGAAUAGGUCUCCCAUUUGGCACACCACCUGCUUCUGAGCGGGGCUUUUGGCUAUACAGCCAGAACACCCCUCAUUUUGACAGGUGUUCUGCUCCUCUACAGUAAGCAGCAAUAGAUUUAGUGUCUGGCCCCAAGAGUUAACCCUUUCCUGACUGACUGAGAAGGCAUACCAUGUAUGCCUUCUGGUUAAACCAGGCUAGGCACAGGGCUGUAUAGCUCAAGUAGCAGUUCAGGAAAAGGAGGCCAAGUCUUGUGCACCUACUGCUUUUGAGUAGGAAACCCCAUCCACAGCAGGGACUCCUAUACAGGAAACAGUGGUGCAAGGUUGUUUACUGGAUGCCCGACAGAGGUAAGUGGUGAUGCUAUGCAUCACCACUUACCUCCUUACAGUCUGUGGAACAGGCUACCUGCAUCCAACCCAUGCAGCUAAAUCUACAUGUGAAUAUACCUCUAAAUUGGCCCUGUCAUUUAGGACCUCCACUGAUCCGGAGAAUAAGCGGAGAGAAAGGCUUGCUAGCAUUCUUCAUUCUCUGCUUUGCAGCAAUCUACCCCUGCCUUCUCUGGACAGCGAUUGGAGAUCACUGCAAACCAGGGAGUAAAGCAUGCUACAGAUCACUUCUCCCCCUUGAGG